rnacentral:precursor_RNA from 9 species
UUCGUGCUGCAUCAGGAAGAGGAUUCCGAGGCGGAUGUGCAUGAGAUCAUGUAUCUAUAAAAUUUCAUGAGAUCAUGUUACAUCCGACUUGGCGUCUCACUCUUUCAGCUUCGCAUAUU